CUACGGGUGGCACCAGUGGGGAAUACUGCACAAUGGGCGCAAGCCUGAUGCAGCCAUGCCGCGUGUAUGAAGAAGGCCUUCGGGUUGUAAAGUACUUUCAGCGGGGAGGAAGGGAGUAAAGUUAAUACCUUUGCUCAUUGACGUUACCCGCAGAAGAAGCACUGGCUAACUCCGUGCCAGCAGCCGCGGUAAUACGGAGGGUGCAAGCGUUAAUCGGAAUUACUGGGCGUAAAGCGCACGCAGGCGGUUUGUUAAGUCAGAUGUGAAAUCCCCGGGCUCAACCUGGGAACUGCAUCUGAUACUGGCAAGCUUGAGUCUCGUAGAGGGGGGUAGAAUUCCAGGUGUAGCGGUGAAAUGCGUAGAGAUCUGGAGGAAUACCGGUGGCGAAGGCGGCCCCCUGGACGAAGACUGACACUCAGGUGCGAAAGCGUGGGGAGCAAACAGGAUUAGAUACCCUUGUAGUC
rnacentral:rRNA from 1 species